rfam:Streptococcus sp. 'caviae' strain Cavy grass 6 NODE_7_length_119881_cov_201.483, whole genome shotgun sequence.
UGAGAAAAGCAGAAGUGAGAACUUCUCGCCUUGCGACUAAGGUUGUCUGGCCCAACAUGUCAAAAUUCCUUAUCUAAGGAAAGUUAUGUGUGCGGGCUUGAAAUGUCAAGUCCGCUUUCGUUUUUCUCG